rnacentral:hammerhead_ribozyme from 1 species
GCACUGCUGAGGAGUCACACUGGGACGAAACGGCCGUCCAGUGC